rnacentral:tRNA from 1 species
UGGGGUGUAGCUGAUUGGCAGAGUGCUUGCCUUGUGUGAGCAAGGCCCUGGGUUUGAUCCCAGAACCCCAA